rnacentral:rRNA from 1 species
AUUGAACGCUGGCGGCAUGCUUUACACAUGCAAGUCGAACGGCAGCGCGGGGCAACCUGGCGGCAAGUGGCGAACGGGUGAGUAAUACAUCGGAACGUACCCAGAAGUGGGGGAUAACGUAGCGAGAGUUACGCUAAUACCGCAUACGUUCUACGGAAGAAAGUGGGGGACCUUCGGGCCUCAUGCUUUUGGAGCGGCCGAUGUCUGAUUAGCUAGUUGGUGAGGUAAAGGCUCACCAAGGCGACGAUCAGUAGCCGGUCUGAGAGGACGACCAGCCACACGGGGACUGAGACACGGCCCAGACUCCUACGGGAGGCAGCAGUGGGGAAUUUUGGACAAUGGGCGCAAGCCUGAUCCAGCAAUGCCGCGUGAGUGAGGAAGGCCUUCGGGUUGUAAAGCUCUUUUGUCAGGGAAGAAACGGCUGAGGUUAAUACCUUCGGCUAAUGACGGUACCUGAAGAAUAAGCACCGGCUAACUACGUGCCAGCCGCCGCAGUAACAC